UACGUAGGGUGCAAGCGUUAAUCGGAAUUACUGGGCGUAAAGCGUGCGCAGGCGGUUAUAUAAGACAGUUGUGAAAUCCCCGGGCUCAACCUGGGAACUGCAUCUGUGACUGUAUAGCUAGAGUACGGUAGAGGGGGAUGGAACUCCGCGUGUAGCAGUGAAAUGCGUAGAUAUGCGGAGGAACACCGAUGGCGAAGGCAAUCCCCUGGACCUGUACUGACGCUCAUGCACGAAAGCGUGGGGAGCAAACAGG
rnacentral:rRNA from 1 species